AUUGAACGCUGGCGGCAGGCUUAACACAUGCAAGUCGAGCGAGCGGCGGACGGGUGAGUAAUGUCUGGGACACUGCCUGAUGGAGGGGGAUAACUACUGGAAACGGUAGCUAAUACCGCAUACCAUCAGAUGUGCCCGGAUGGGAUUAGCUAGUAGGUGGGGUAAUGGAUCACCUAGGCGACGAUCCCUAGCUGGUCUGAGAGGAUGACCAGGCACACCGGAACUGAGACAAGGUCCAGACCACUACGGGAGGGAGCAGUGGGGAAUAGUGCACAAGGGGCGCAGGCCUGAUGCAGCCAUGCCGCGUGUGUGAAGAAGGCCGUCGGGUUGUAAAGCACGUUCAGCGAGGAGGCGUUACUCGCAGAAGAAGCACCGGCUAACUCCGUGCCAGCAGCCGCGGUAAUAC
rnacentral:rRNA from 1 species